GAUGAACGCUGGCGGCGUGCCUAAUACAUGCAAGUCGAGCGAACGGACGAGAAGCUUGCUUCUCUGAUGUUAGCGGCGGACGGGUGAGUAACACGUGGAUAACCUACCUAUAAGACUGGGAUAACUUCGGGAAACCGGAGCUAAUACCGGAUGAUAUUUUGAACCGCAUGGUUCAAAAGUAAAAGACGGUCUUGCUGUCACUUAUAGAUGGAUCCGCGCUGCAUUAGCUAGUUGGUAAGGUAACGGCUUACCAAGGCAACGAUGCAUAGCCGACCUGAGAGGGUGAUCGGCCACACUGGAACUGAGACACGGUCCAGACUCCUACGGGAGGCAGCAGUAGGGAAUCUUCCGCAAUGGGCGAAAGCCUGACGGAGCAACGCCGCGUGAGUGAUGAAGGUCUUCGGAUCGUAAAACUCUGUUAUUAGGGAAGAAUAUAUGUGUAAGUAACUGUGCACAUCUUGACGGUACCUAAUCAGAAAGCCACGGCUAACUACGUGCCAGCAGCCGCGGUAAUACGUAGGUGGCAAGCGUUAUCCGGAAUUAUUGGGCGUAAAGCGCGCGUAGGCGGUUUUUUAAGUCUGAUGUGAAAGCCCACGGCUCAACCGUGGAGGGUCAUUGGAAACUGGAAAACUUGAGUGCAGAAGAGGAAAGUGGAAUUCCAUGUGUAGCGGUGAAAUGCGCAGAGAUAUGGAGGAACACCAGUGGCGAAGGCGACUUUCUGGUCUGUAACUGACGCUGAUGUGCGAAAGCGUGGGGAUCAAACAGGAUUAGAUACCCUGGUAGUCCACGCCGUAAACGAUGAGUGCUAAGUGUUAGGGGGUUUCCGCCCCUUAGUGCUGCAGCUAACGCAUUAAGCACUCCGCCUGGGGAGUACGACCGCAAGGUUGAAACUCAAAGGAAUUGACGGGGACCCGCACAAGCGGUGGAGCAUGUGGUUUAAUUCGAAGCAACGCGAAGAACCUUACCAAAUCUUGACAUCCUUUGACAACUCUAGAGAUAGAGCUUUCCCCUUCGGGGGACAAAGUGACAGGUGGUGCAUGGUUGUCGUCAGCUCGUGUCGUGAGAUGUUGGGUUAAGUCCCGCAACGAGCGCAACCCUUAAGCUUAGUUGCCAUCAUUAAGUUGGGCACUCUAAGUUGACUGCCGGUGACAAACCGGAGGAAGGUGGGGAUGACGUCAAAUCAUCAUGCCCCUUAUGAUUUGGGCUACACACGUGCUACAAUGGACAAUACAAAGGGCAGCGAAACCGUGAGGUCAAGCAAAUCCCAUAAAGUUGUUCUCAGUUCGGAUUGUAGUCUGCAACUCGACUACAUGAAGCUGGAAUCGCUAGUAAUCGUAGAUCAGCAUGCUACGGUGAAUACGUUCCCGGGUCU
rnacentral:rRNA from 1 species